GACUGAGACACGGCCAGACUCUACGGGAGGCAGCAGUGGGGAAUAUUGCACAAUGGGGAAACCUGAUGCAGCGACGCCGCGUGAGGGAUGACGGCCUUCGGGUUGUAAACCUCUUUCAGUAGGGAAGAAGCCUUUCGAGGUGACGGUACCUGCAGAAGAAGUACCGGCUAACUACGUGCCAGCAGCCGCGGUAAUACGUAGGGUACAAGCGUUGUCCGGAAUUAUUGGGCGUAAAGAGCUCGUAGGCGGUCCGUCGCGUCUGCUGUGGAACCGCAAGGCUCAACCUUGCGCGUGCAGUGGGUACGGGCGGACUAGAGUGCAGUAGGGGAGUCUGGAAUUCCUGGUGUAGCGGUGAAAUGCGCAGAUAUCAGGAGGAACACCGGUGGCGAAGGCGGGACUCUGGGCUGUUACUGACGCUGAGGAGCGAAAGCAUGGGGAGCGAACAGGAUUAGAUACCCUGGUAGUCCAUGCCGUAAACGUUGGGCACUAGGUGUGGGGCUCAUUCCACGAGUUCCGCGCCGCAGCUAACGCACUAAGUGCCCCGCCUGGGGAGUACGGCCGCAAGGCUAAAACUCAAAGGAAUUGACGGGGGCCCGCACAAGCGGCGGAGCAUGCGGAUUAAUUCGAUGCAACGCGAAGAACCUUACCAAGGCUUGACAUACACCGGAAUGUGCCAGAGAUGGUUCAGCCCUUUGGGCUGGUGUACAGGUGGUGCAUGGUUGUCGUCAGCUCGUGUCGUGAGAUGUUGGGUUAAGUCCCGCAACGAGCGCAACCCUCGUUCUAUGUUGCCAGCACGUGAUGGUGGGAACUCAUAGGAGACUGCCGGGGUCAACUCGGAGGAAGGUGGGGAUGACGUCAAAUCAUCAUGCCCUUUAUGUCUUGGGCUUCACGCAUGCUACAAUGGUCGGUACAAAGGGUUGCGAGACCGUGAGGUGGAGCGAAUCCCAGAAAGCCGAUCUCAGUUCGGAUCGUAGUCUGCAACUCGACUACGUGAAGUCGGAGUCGCUAGUAAUCGCAGAUCAG
rnacentral:rRNA from 1 species